GAUGAACGCUGGCGGCGUGCUUAACACAUGCAAGUCGAGCGAGAAAAGUUCUUCGGAGCUUUUCUAGCGGCGGACGGGUGAGUAACACGUGGGCAACCUGCCUCAUAGAGGGGAAUAGCCUUCCGAAAGGAAGAUUAAUACCGCAUAAUAUUGUUGAAAGGCAUCUUUUAACAAUCAAAGGAGCAAUCCGCUAUGAGAUGGGCCCGCGGCGCAUUAGCUAGUUGGUGAGGUAACGGCUCACCAAGGCGACGAUGCGUAGCCGACCUGAGAGGGUGAUCGGCCACAUUGGAACUGAGGCACGGUCCAGACUCCUACGGGAGGCAGCAGUGGGGAAUAUUGCACAAUGGGGGAAAUCCUGAUGCAGCAACGCCGCGUGAGUGAUGAAGGUCUUCGGAUUGUAAAGCUCUGUCUUUAGGGACGAUAAUGACGGUACCUAAGGAGGAAGCCACGGCUAACUACGUGCCAGCAGCCGCAGUAA
rnacentral:rRNA from 1 species